AUUGAACGCUGGCGGCAGGCCUAACACAUGCAAGUCGAACGGUAACAGGAAGCAGCUUGCUGCUUCGCUGACGAGUGGCGGACGGGUGAGUAAUGUCUGGGAAACUGCCUGAUGGAGGGGGAUAACUACUGGAAACGGUAGCUAAUACCGCAUAACGUCGCAAGACCAAAGAGGGGGACCUUAGGGCCUCUUGCCAUCGGAUGUGCCCAGAUGGGAUUAGCUAGUAGGUGGGGUAACGGCUCACCUAGGCGACGAUCCCUAGCUGGUCUGAGAGGAUGACCAGCCACACUGGAACUGAGACACGGUCCAGACUCCUACGGGGGGCAGCAGUGGGGAAUAUUGCACAAUGGGCGCAAGCCUGAUGCAGCCAUGCCGCGUGUAUGAAGAAGGCCUUCGGGUUGUAAAGUACUUUCAGCGGGGAGGAAGGGAGUAAAGUUAAUACCUUGGCUCAUUGACGUUACCCGCAGAAGAAGCACCGGCUAACUCCGUG
rnacentral:rRNA from 1 species